GACGAACGCUGGCGGCGUGCUUAACACAUGCAAGUCGAACGAAGUGGCGAACGGGGGAGUAAUUCGUGGGUAACCUGCCCUCCGUUUUGGGAUAAUCCUUGGGAACGGGGUCUACUACAGAAUAAAGGGGGCUGGGCGCGCGGCCUAUCGGCUUGUUGGUGGGGUAAUGGCCUACCCAGGCGGUGACGGGUCGCCAGCCUGAGAGGGCGACCGGCGACAGUGGGACGGAGAAACGUCCCAGGGUCGUACGAGAGGCAGCAGUUUGGGAUAUUGGACAAUGGGCGAAAGCCUGAUGCCGCGACGCCGCGUGGGGGAUGCAGGCUUUCGGGUUGUAAACCUGUGUCGCAAGCGAACGGGUACGUGGAGAAGAAGCGCCGGCUAACUACGUGCCAGCAGCCGCGGUAAUUC
rnacentral:rRNA from 1 species